rnacentral:lncRNA from 1 species
CUGGUUCUAGGAAUCGCGGAAUCUAUCCCUUUGGAAGCCAGAGGGAGCCAGGAAGGAGACGGCUAAGAGGGGUCGGGGUGCUUGUGUCCAUCAACAUUUCCUAGCUCUAUCCAUCGAUUACCUCGGGGUGAAAAGUGCAUGGUUACCAUUGUCAAAUUGAAGGGGAGAACCGUGAUCAUUUAGCUGGAAGCGUCUUUUUCGACAUUUCAGGAAGGUGAAGAUAUUUCUUUCAGACUCUCUCUCUCUAUGCUAUA